rnacentral:rRNA from 1 species
CUUAAGCAAUCACGCGAAGCGCAAUCUGCCAUUAUGACCGAUGAAAUCCCGUUAGAUGAUGCACUGUUACAAUUGCGGGAAUUUAUCGACGAAAACUCCGGUGAAUUUUUUGUUCAGGUUUGGGGAAAUGGAGCCAACUUCGACAACACGAUUUUGCGCCGUUCAUACGAACGGCAGGGGAUCCCCUGCCCGUGGCGUUACUACAACGAUCGCGAUGUACGCACAAUCGUUGAGCUGGGGAAAGCCAUAGACUUCGAUGCCAGAACGGCUAUUCCAUUCGAAGGUGA